rnacentral:rRNA from 1 species
AACGAACGCUGGCGGCAUGCCUAACACAUGCAAGUCGAACGGGAUCCUAGCUUGCUAGGUGAGAGUGGCGGACGGGUGAGUAACACGUGGGAAUCUGCCUUUUGGUUCGGGAUAACCGCGGGAAACUGCGGCUAAUACCGAAUGCCCUCGAGAGAGGAAAGAUUUAUCGCCAGAAGAGGAGCCCGCGUCCGAUUAGGUAGUUGGUGGGGUAAAGGCCUACCAAGCCGACGAUCGGUAGCUGGUCUGAGAGGAUGAUCAGCCACACUGGGACUGAGAUACGGCCCAGACUCCUACGGGAGGCAGCAGUGGGGAAUAUUGGACAAUGGCGAAAGCCUGAUCCAGCAAUGCCGCGUGUGUGAAGAAGGUCUUCGGAUCGUAAAGCACUUUCGACAGGGACGAUGAUGACGGUACCUGUAGAAGAAGCCCCGGCUAACUUCGUGCCAGCAGCCGCGGUAAU